rnacentral:piRNA from 1 species
UAACAAAGGCAGUAUUAGUGGCUCUCUAGUC